GACGAACGCUGGCGGCGUGCUUAACACAUGCAAGUCGAACGGAAAGGCCCUGCUUUUGUGGGGUUCUCGAGUGGCGAACGGGUGAGUAACACGUGAGUAACCUGCCCUUGACUUCGUGAUAACUUCAGGAAACUGGGGCUAAUACCGGAUAGGAGCUCCUGCUGCAUGGUGGUGGUUGGAAAGUUUCGGCGGUUGGGGAUGGACUCGCGGCUUAUCAGCUUGUUGGUGGGGUAGUUGCUUACCAAGGCUUUGACGGGUAGCCGGCCUGAGAGGGUGACCGGCCAGAUUGGGACUGAGGUACGGCACAGACACGUACGGGAGGGAGCAGUGGGGAAUAUUGCACAAUGGGCGGAAGCCUGAUGCAGCAACGCCGCGUGCGGGAUGACGGCCUUCGGGUUGUAAACCGCUUUCGCCUGUGACGAAGCGUGAGUGACGGUAAUGGGUAAAGAAGCACCGGCUAACUACGUG
rnacentral:rRNA from 1 species